UGGGGAAUUUUUGGCAAUGGGCGCAAGCCUGACCAAGCAACGCCGCGUGGGUGAUGAAGUAUCUUGGUACGUAAAACCCUUUCGGCAGGGACGAACCUAAUGACGGUACCUGCGGAAGAAGCCCCGGCUAACUCCGUGCCAGCAGCCGCGGUAAUACGGGGGGGGCAAGCGUUGUUCGGAAUUACUGGGCGUAAGGGGCGCGUAGGCGGUUGGAUAAGUCAGCUGUGAAAACCACGGGCUUAACUCGUGGCCUGCAGUUGAGACUGUCUGGCUUGAGUGUGGGAGAGGAGAGUGGAAUUCCUGGUGUAGCGGUGAAAUGCGUAGAUAUCAGGAGGAACACCGGUGGCGAAGGCGGCUCUCUGGACCACAACUGACGCUGAGGCGCGAAAGCUAGGGGAGCAAACAGGAUUAGAUACCCUGGUAGUCCUAGCUGUAAACGAUGGAUACUUGCUGUGGGGGGUGUUAAAUCCCCCUGUGGCGGAGCUAACGCAUUAAGUAUCCCGCCUGGGGAGUACGGUCGCAAGGCUGA
rnacentral:rRNA from 1 species